UUAAAAUGUUGCUGCCUGAAAGCA
rnacentral:piRNA from 1 species